rnacentral:rRNA from 1 species
GACGAGGGGUCCUAGCGUUGUUCGGAAUCACUGGGCGUAAAGCGUAUGUAGGCGGCCUGUUAAGUCAGUUGUGAAAUCCCACGGCUCAACCGUGGAAUUGCAAUUGAAACUGGCGGGCUUGAGUGCAGGAGAGGUUGGUAGAAUACCUAGUGUAGUGGUGAAAUACGUAGAUAUUAGGUGGAAUACCGGUGGCGAAGGCGGCCAACUGGCCUAGCACUGACGCUGAGAUACGAAAGCGUGGGGAUCAAACAGG